CGAAUCGAACCAGUUUACGUUGUCGAAAGUUAUUGUGGAUUUUGGCCGGUUGAUUGAUUUCCUGAUUUCGGCCUUCGUGAUGGAGGAGGAGGAGAAGGAGAACGAGUCACAUCGUUGCUCCGGCGGGCCAUGCCGGAAGACGGGAAGGGAAGCACCCGGUCUGCGAUCGAGGAAGCGGAUUGGUGUUUAAAUUUCCGCGGGAGGUGGCGGUGCGUGCCAUACCCAAGGAGGAGGACAAUGAAACGGCAAGUAAUGGAUGUUUCCCCCAAUGGAACAGAAGGAGGGAGAAAGACCAUUCCCCUUCCCGUCAAGUCUUGGGGAGGUGUACAAUGUUCCGUGUGAAAAGAAAGGUGGAGGAAGACGGCGUUUCUGAUCCGCCGGAGGUUUUUAUACGGUAACCAAAAAUAUUCCAAUCGAAUCCUACUGACAACCCAGCGUUUCCGUGUUGUCCCACGGAACGGAAGCUGUAACGAUCGCAAAAACACUUGCACCGGAAGUGCGUAAACCGACCUUGUCCGGACUCCGGUGGCCAUCCAUUCGUGGGAUGCCGAGGCGACGAGAUGAGCUGAAAGGCCCACUGCAAGACAACGCCAAAAACCACGUGAAGAUCGCGACACACAACAAGUAAAAUUAAUGAAUGUU
rnacentral:lncRNA from 1 species